AUUUAAUCUAACGGCCCCAGUUCCAUCUCGUGUAUUAGAUAAAAAUGUCCGAAAUUAAUUCUAACCCUAGAGACCAUUUGUUUCUUACUAGUACCACCUCGUGUGUCUCCGCCGUCUCCCACCGCCUUCCACCAUCCGCCGCCGGUAGGGAAUCGCCUCCGCCACCGGCAAAGAUCUAAAUGACCCAAAAUUUCACCACAAGCUCUCCUUUUCCUCCUCUUUUUAAACCUCAAAAUCAUCUCUAUCAAAUUAUAACCAAUCUUCGUAAAUAUUAGAUCUAAAAUCAGGCCAGAACCUCAACUCUUCCAAGUUCAACCAAAUUCACACCCUAUAUUUCCCUAACCCUUCUCUUCCUAAAUCCCAAACUGGAACUCUUCAAAUCCAAACGAAACCCCUUCAAUUUUAGAUCUAGGGUUUUCAAAUUUUAACCUAUUAUGGAGUUUCAAGAGUUCGGAUGAUUUUUAAUUAAUGUUCUAGGUUUUAUUUUGACAAAAUAAAAGUAUAACAAUAAUUAAAAUCAAUUCCGAAAAACAAUCAAGUUGAAGAACAAAAAUCAGUAAGUUUUCGUGUGAUUCUGUUUUUAUUUUGGUUCAAUAUUUGUUUCCUUCUGCUCUUGUAAUUGUCUUUAUAUCUUUUAGCUUAAUUUUGUUUGAUUUGUUUAAAUCAUGUCUUAGUAAUGUUAGGUGUUAGUUUAAUUUUCUUGAUACAUGUUUUACUUUAGUAUUCAUUGUUAUUAUAUGUUUUAGUCGAUUCUGUUUAGGUAUUGUUUGAUUUGUUAGUUAUAAUUAGUUUAAUUCAAUUUAGUUUGGUUUAGUCAAUAAUCGUUAUUGGUAAUUCCUUAGUUCAUUUAGUUAUUUAGGCUUAGCUUAAUUGAUUGAAUAUAGCUGAAUAACCCACUCCUAGAUUAACCAUAGUUAAAUGUAACUAAGGUAAAAGGGGUUGGGAGUUAUAGUUUGAUACUAGGGUUAGUAAUUUUAUGAUUAUUCAAGGGUAGUUUAGGCAUUGUAAAUGGCUCAGUUUGUUAAGGCUAAACAAUUUCAAAAUAGAAAUGGGGGUAGUGUAGGUAUUUCAUAGGUAGAAAGCAAAGCUAGAACACUCUUUUGAGUACCCGUGCUCCAAUCUCCCGUAUAUUAUACAGGAGUCAACAAAAUAUACCGGUCCAACAUAAUAUACUGGAGUUCGUACACAAAUGCACCGAACUCCCGUAUAUUAUACGGGACCGAUCUCUAUUGCAGUAAAAUAAUGGAUUUUUUUAUUGGCUUGACAAACACUGACUAUUUUUAAUUGACCAGGGUAAAAACUGAUUAUACCGUGCUAUUUUGGGAUCCCCUAUAAGGCCCAACAACUGCUUUAAUUAUCCAAAGCCCAAUAUCUGCUUAACAUCUAUAAAAUGGCUGGUUUGCUUUGUGUCCUCUUCUCAAUAUGAAAUCAUAUGUUAAUUUUGGGGAAAGGUUCAUCGUCAAAUUAUUUUAACAGAAAAAUAAUUUACAUAAAUUGUUACGUAGACAUUUUUCACAUUGAUAACAAGGGAGUAUGGAAUAUCUAAUCGAACAAUAUAGUUAUAAAAUCAUCAAAACUAGAACUUGUUACCUUAAUUAUAAUUCGAAUUGGUUACAUUUUCGCAGCUAAACUGUUUCCUUUCAAAACCAGCUACCCAAAAAACUAUGUUUACGUAGAUUUUCAUUUCUAUCUCCUAUUAAAACACUAGUAUGACAUAACAAUUAGUUUUGGAAUUUGUACGCAGAGUCAGAUUUAAGAUUUGAAGUUUAUGGGACUUAAGAGUUUUAGAAUUUAGUCUGUUAAAUGUUACUUGGUUUAAAAUAAAUAAUUUAUUUAUAUUCAAUGUAUCUUUAAAAACAAAUAUAGGACUUGGAUCAAAGUUACUGGAUUCAGUUGAACCAGUAACUCCUAUGCUAGCUCUACCCAUGUUUGUACGCCAAAGAAUUUACAUCAUUUUGAAGGGGAGAAAUUUAAAAAUAGUCAGAUUUACAAGUUUUCAUUCAAAAAUAGCUACAGUUUCAUAAGUAAUUGAAAUACACAUCUGAAAGAAAAUACUGUUC
rnacentral:lncRNA from 1 species